rfam:Photobacterium jeanii strain R-40508 scaffold24, whole genome shotgun sequence.
GGGUGCGGCUGAAUCAGAGAUUGGCUGCACAAAUUUUAAAAUUAUUGUAUUAGGAUAAAGUUAUGUCUCUGAAUGCAGAAACUAAAGCAGCAAUCGUUGCUGAAUACGCACAAUGUGAA